rnacentral:tRNA from 1 species
CUUAAAGAUAAGCUAAAUAAGCUAAUGGGCUCAUACCUCAUCUAUGAGAGUAAAUCUCUCUCUUUUU